AGAGCGAACGCUGGCGGCAGGCUUAACACAUGCAAGUCGAACGCCCGGGCAACCGGGAGUGGCAGACGGGUGAGUAACACGUGGGAACAUGCCCUUCGGUUCGGAAUAACUCGGGGAAACUCGUGCUAAUACCGGAUACGUCCGUAAGGAGAAAGAUUUAUCGCCGAAGGAUUGGCCCGCGUCCGAUUAGCUAGUUGGUGGGGUAAAGGCCCACCAAGGCGACGAUCGGUAGCUGGUCUGAGAGGAUGAUCAGCCACACUGGGACUGAGACACGGCCCAGACUCCUACGGGAGGCAGCAGUGGGGAAUAUUGGACAAUGGGCGCAAGCCUGAUCCAGCCAUGCCGCGUGAGUGAUGAAGGCCCUAGGGUUGUAAAGCUCGUUUCGGCGGGGAAGAUAAUGACGGUACCCGCAGAAGAAGCCCCGGCUAACUUCGCGCCAGCAGCCGC
rnacentral:rRNA from 1 species